GUUUGGAGAAGCCUGCUCUAGAGCAAUGCACCAGGAGCUGAGCAAACAAAAGGCCAUUAGGUUUAUUUUGAACAAGAUGGGAGAACAUCUCUGGAUGGAGACUCCAUUUCCCUGUUCGAAAGGCCUGAUGACUAAGGUAUUCUGCUCCCCAAUAAUCACAGACAGAUAUGAGAAUCACUGACAAUGUCACAUUCUGAGCUUCCGCUCACUUGGGAGCUUGGGAACAUCCAUUACAGCAGCAUUAAGUGAAUCACGGGAGUUCCUGGUUUGUCUUGCAACUUUUAGACCAUAAGAACGUUAUUGACAGGAAAAUGCUUGGGUACCGGUUUACAAAAUUGAUCCAGCACCUUAGAUGUGCUCAAUCAAAAAUGCAUGACACAUCCUCCUCUAGUGGUCCUUGAAGGGCGGGAGGGAACUCAAAGUCAGAACUGGAUGCCAAUUCUGAUGCAUGGUCAUGCUGAUAUCUACGCAGAGAACAAGCAGCCUCCUUCACAAUGGAGGGCAAAAGAG